AUUUAUUUAAUAUAAUAUAGUAUAUUUAGCUUCCAACUAAAACGUCUUUUAUUAAGAAUAAAUA
rnacentral:tRNA from 1 species